UACGUAGGGUGCGAGCGUUGUCCGGAAUUAUUGGGCGUAAAGAGCUCGUAGGCGGUUUGUCGCGUCUGCUGUGAAAUCUAGAGGCUCAACCUCUAGCCUGCAGUGGGUACGGGCAGACUGGAGUGGUGUAGGGGAGACUGGAAUUCCUGGUGUAGCGGUGGAAUGCGCAGAUAUCAGGAGGAACACCGGUGGCGAAGGCAGGUCUCUGGGCACUUACUGACGCUGAGGAGCGAAAGCGUGGGGAGCGAACAGG
rnacentral:rRNA from 1 species